GACGAACCGUGCGAACGUUAUUCGGAAUUACUGGGCGUAAAGGGCGCGUAGGCGGCCCUGUCAGUCGGGUGUGAAAGCCCGGGGCUCAACCCCGGAACGGCACCCGAGACGGCAGGGCUGGAGACCGGGAGAGGAGGGUGGAAUAGCCAGUGUAGAGGUGAAAUUCGUAGAUAUUGGCUGGAACACCGGUGGCGAAAGCGGCUCUCUGGCCCGGUUCUGACGCUGAGGCGCGAAAGCGUGGGGAGCAAACAGG
rnacentral:rRNA from 1 species